GCCCCCGGGGCUGUGCUGGGUGUCUACCAACUGCAGGGCUGAGGAGGACCUUUUGACUCGCCAAGUAAAGCCACAGAGACCAAACUGAGUUUCCCUUUCGGCACAAAUGGAAAUUUUUCAAGCUGGGGUGUUAGAGAUGAAAGCAGAAAAAGACUCAGCUGGGUUCAAAGAUCACUGCCCGAGCCGUGGGCCAAAGUCCACAAGGGUUUCUAGGAAAUCAUGGGGGGAGGGGGGUGUCCCUUUUCCUUAGCUGACCUUUCACUGACCAGCGUUGGUGCUCCAGCAGCUCAUGGGGCUGAAUGAGCUCUUUGCAGCUUUCCUACAAGGCAAGAGCUGGUGGACAAGAGACCCACCAGCCCAGACACCAUCCCAACCUUCCAGAGAGGGGCUCCGGAGGACUCUGAGGGUGGAGGAUAAAGAGCCUUUAAGAGGUCUGAGGGUGGAGGAUGAAGAGCCUUUAAGAGGCUGCCCUUGCUCCUCAGAGGCUCCUUUCUCUGCACCAGGCUCCUCAUCCUUCCGCGCCCAGGAGCCAUCGUGUGUGCCAGGCCCGCGGUCCCCUCCAUGACGUGCUGCCUCAGGGGUGCCCGACAUGGCAUCCCGCCCUGGGCCCUCUGCCUCGCCGGGUCCCUCCCGGCCCUUUUCCGUGGUGGUUUCCUCCGGCUGGCCAGCCCCUGGCCCCAGGUCCCCUCUCAGGCCGCCCGCCGGCUCUUCCUCCCCCUCUCCAUGUCCCUCAGCGGUGUCGGGCACGGAGGUGUUGGCCAGGCCACCAUCUUGGUCCCCCUCAGGGCUGCGCUUGGCUGCCUUCUCCUCCAGCCUGGGCUCUGCGGCUGGCAAGGGGCUUUCGGCAGCAUCGCUGACGCGGUCUGUGCCGGGGGCACGUGGCUCUAAACGAUGAGAACAGCUCAGUCAGUCUUACCCGCGCCGGCACGCGGCCCCCAGGGCACCCACCGGCCCCCCGUCAGCGUGGCGGGGCCAAGAGGGGAGGGGGCUGUGCCUGGCACCAAGGAGGUUUAAACUCUUCCCUAAACCUUCUCUAGUUCCAGCUCAGUUUUCUCUCCCUGUCGCAAGAAGAUGGGUGCAAAGAGGUGUUUGUGAGGGGGCAAAGCUGAUGCUGGCAGGGGGUCCUAUGGCUGCACCAGCCCUGGCUGCCCCGAGACCGUGGCUGCGACCUGCUGCAAAGCACUGCAGGGAGGCGGCAAAGCAGCCCUAAAAAACAGAGGGGAGGAAUAACAAAAAGCGUAGCUCAAGGGGCUGCGGGCACUUGGCAGGUUAAAAGGGUCCUUCCCCAGCCCUGCCUGCCUUGGGAGCCCGUCACCAUGGCGGGUGGGUGGGCGAGGAGGAGGAAGGGCUGAAGGGCAGGCGAGGGCGAGGGGCUUCCCUGGCUGUGGAGAGGCAGGGCCUGACGCCGGUGGCGGUGGGGCUGGGGAGCUAUUUAUUGUGAGCAUCCCUUCACUAGGAAAGCAUUUGCCGUGCCUCGCGGCUGGCGGGGACACAAUGAGUUUGUUCUGUGGCAUGGGAGAAGCCAUCCGUAUUUUCCAUAGGCCUCCAGCUGCAAUUCAACGUUAGUCAACGGGUGCCAAAAAUAAAAGAUCACCAGCUAUACUGUCUCCGUUACAAACA